GUUCGUAAUAUGAAGCUUUGAUCUGAGACUGUGUCGCUUUGGGUGUCAACGAAAGAGUGUCGUAGAAAUUCUCCCUCUUUUUGGAGUCUCGGCGACUUGCGAGCCCUCUGGAAGGAAAUGUAGCACUUCCCAACAGAGUUACUGUGACUGGACAAUGCGGCAAGAUGUUAGUUGAUGGAAGACGGGUUUUCAGUAUGGAGGCUAUUUAUGGUAUUGCUGAACAGCUGAAGUGAGCCUUUUUUUUCUGUCGGAAAUGCAAGACUGAGUAGUCGACAUCCUGCCUCUCAACAAGUCAUUGUGUCGGACACUCAAUGAAGCGGACAUCUCAUCAAAACCUGUUGUCGAUUAGCGCAUUGCUUGUGAUUUACAAAGUCCCCAACAAGUGAAGGUCGAACCACCAGUACUAUCCACCAUUACUACUGGUACA